CAGGGGGACAGAUAUUCGGAGGGGGAGAGGGACGGAAGAUGAAAUGGAGAGCGGCAACGAGAGGAGCGAGAGCGGAGAGAUGGUGGCAUGGGGGCGGCAGGCCGAGGCGCUAGCAACGUGACGGGGAAAUCUCCCAUACGUCUCCUGCUGUGUGACUUAAACCCAUAGAUCAUCAUCAGUCUCAUCAUCGUCGUCGUCGCCGUGAUACCCACCACCACGCCUGCACUUGCACCGGAAGCAAAAGCUGCUGAGGAAUUCAACGGGAAAAGAUGAAGAAAGGAAAAUGAAGAUAAUUCCACUCGCAGCACCGGGAAUCAAACGGUCGCCCCGGCACAAACCGGGCUCAACAGGGAGACGAUGCUCGGCAGAUGGAGCCGGGCCGCACGGCGGCCGUCACGGACGAGGGCAGCGGCGGGGUCGGCCGUGGAGAAACCGCGCGAGGAACGUUCUUUCCCUCUCCCGUUCUCGCGGCCGCCAUCCUGAACAACGAUGGGGACGACGCUGAACCGCCGCUCCCCCCACUGCCCGAGCCCCCCCCACCCACCCACACCGCCACCCCGGGCGUGGAGUGAAGAGUUCCGUGUAAUCGCUGUCGCCAAUCGGUGCGAGUGGCAGCGCCACUCCUGCAUAAUGAACCAAUUUAUUCAUUUGCGUUCUGUAUUAAUUACGCAACGUGGGAGAUUAAAUGAAAUUGGCACGUUUUAAAUAAUAAUAAUUACCGCCCUUUUGUCAAUCGCCUGCUGAAUGAAGGCCUCAACGGUGCCGUGUCGGUCACGGGGGUUGUUUGACCAUACUUCACCGCUCUGGUCAGUUCCGGUUCGCAAAGUGGGGCGAGAGACACGGGACCGGCAUUCGAACCCGGGUCGCCAGGUUCACAGGGCAGGACCCACAGCACCGCUCAUCUAUACCAACACCAGCGUGGCGAGACAGUGAAAUGUGCCGUAACCACUGGGCUUCGGGUUUUUUUUUUCCCGACUGCCGAAAAUCGGUUUUAAUUUGAAGCAGCUAAA